UCUAUGUGUGUGAGCAUGCUAGCAAGUCUAUAUUCGAUUUAUGAGCUGAGGUGUUCUCUUUUCCAUUUGCGUGUGAAGCAUAUUGAUGUUCUAUGCAUAACUGAUCAUGCUUGAGGAUGCUAGAUGCGUAUGUUGAGAGGGUGACUGAGAUAGUGUAAAUACCUUGAUGUAUAAAAGUUGGUUGGCUGUUGUUGCUGAGUU
rnacentral:lncRNA from 1 species